UCCCUCUCCCUCUUCCUCUUCAGCCGACACGCUCUCCUCCCUCGCAAGGCGGCGCGCGGCGAGGCUCGGCGGUGCUCGGCGUGCGGCGUCGGUGGCCUGCGGCGGCCCACAAUGGGCGAGCCUGAGGCUACAGCGAUGGCGAGCCCCACGGCGGCGCAGGCGUGGCUGCAACAACACCUGGUGUCGCACCUCCGCGCUGGGCCAGAUCCGGCGAGCAGGGGCCGGAUCUGGCCUGCGUGGCGGCGGCGGCCUCCCCCAUUUCUUAAGCCGCCUGCAACACCCGCAGCUCUUGCUACAUUGCAAGUUUGCAACGCCCGCCAGCCAGGGCCGGCCGUGCAGGGCCUUGUUGUGGCCCGAGAAGGAACUCGACGAGAUGCGGGAGAAAGCAACUGGCUUGCUGAUGCAAGAGAUUAGGAGGAGACGCAGAACUAGAGGAAUCGAUUUGGGGUUUUUGCACUCUGCCUCAAGAUGAACAGAUGAAAGGGGAGAUUUUUUCCUCGCACGAAAGGGAACUGAUGGCCAACGAACGCUGGUUAUUUUAUUUGAUGUGAGUCCCAAGAUUUUAGAUAGCUGCGGUGCCCAAAAAUGUACACGCUGCAGCACAGUAAGGUGAUGCUUGUUUGUCUCCCUGUGGGAUUCGGUAUUUUUCUGGCAACACUCCACGCUGUGGAUGGCUUAAGGCUAGUUUUAAUGUGAGUGUCAUCGACACAGUUACCUAGAUUGUAAUCUUAAAAACUGUGCUAGUGGAGUGUUAUGGGCCAUAAUACUUCUCUCUCCUCUCUCCUCAUACUAUUAGUACAUGUUAGUAGAUUUAAUGUCCAUGACACUCUCAUAACAUUCCCAUUGAGAUUGGCCUAAGAGCAACCACAAUGUUAGCAAAACCAGUCCAUAAGGAAUUAAGUAUUCCCUAUCUUAGGUAGCUGGUAUAUUGUGUUCAUGACACUCUCAUGACAUUCCCACUGAGAUUAGCCUAAGAGCAACCACAAUGUUAGCAAAACCAGUCCAUAAAGAAUUAAAUAUUCCCUAUCUUAGGUAGCUAGUAUAUUGUGGAGGUAAUCCAUAAACAGUCCAUAGCUAAAAGCUAACCAUAGUCCUAUGGGCAGCCCAGAAGGUAGUAAAAAAUAGUAUUUACACUGUAGCUUUGGCAUACAGCAAUAAACAAGAAAGAGCUGUUGGCCUUCGGAUGGUAGCCGUUGGGUGUUGGUCGUUAGGCGUUGGCCUCCUGUACAUGCCUUUUGCUGAACCCUCUCCCUGCCUACAAAACUGAAACUUUGAGCUCUCCUCCCUGCCUACAAAACUGAAACUUUGAGCUCCAUUCUCCACACCUCAACUUGAGAUUUUCAACCCUAAAACUCAAUAAUGGAGCCCCCACCCAGAAACUUUUCAAGCAUCUUCAAUCAAGGCUCUCCAACCCAAUACUCAGAGUGUAGUGGCCAAAUCUCACCACCUACACCCCAAUUCUAGUUUUCCUUUGGAGCAUUCAAUUUCCUACAGAACUUUCUUUUGGUCCACCAUAUGGCCAGUCUCCUCCUAGAUUUCAAGGUGUGCAACAGCAAGAGAGUUGGCGACAAGCCCCUCCACCUAGCACCGUGGGACCCUUAUAUAUAGACCAGUUGGUCCAUAUACAUUGUGAGCUACAAUUUAACUAUAGAUCAUUGCCGUGGGACCCAUCUAUAUAGACCAGUUGGUUCAUAUACAUUGAGCUUGCUCUAAGCUCUCUGUGCUGGGCAUCUAUAUGCAAACGUUGGCUAUUGGGCUGCUGCAUAUGCGCAGUAGCUUGCGCCAGGCCUUCUGCGACAGAUUGAUGUUAGAGUUGAUCUCGAGCCCAGCCCAACGGUAGGGUCAAUCCCUUGAUUUGCGCCCUGAUCGGGGGCACCCAAUCAAUCAGUGAUUGGUGGGCCCCCGCUGCACAGUGCUAUGUAGAAAAGGUGGGGGCCGGGGCGCAGUGCACGAGGUUGACUGUCGCCGCCAUUUCCCCACCGACACACCUAGCCCCACCCGAUCUGAGGGAGCACUGCGAGCAGCGGGAAGCGCCACCGCCGCCGCCGUGCAUCGCCGUCCUCUUCGCCACUGCUUCACCGUCCUCGACUCCGGCUCGUCCACGACUCCGGACAACGACAUCAGCUCCGCCUCACCGACCCCAGCGUCUCCUGUUGGAAAAAUAGAUAACUGUAAGUUUAAAUUCCGAACUAUAUUUAUCAUGACAAGAAUUAAACCUAUCAUGCAUGACUCUAACAUACUAGACAGUACGUAUAUCAUAAACAUGAUCUCAGAAAACAUGAUUAUGAAACAGAUCUGAUCACAAAAUACGUAUUGUGCGGGAGCCGCCAGGAAGACGAAAGGUGCAGACGAGACGAAGACGGUCCUUCGAACGGAGCGCAGCAACCGGCGUUGCAGACGACGGUUCGCCGCAGCUCCUAAUUUGGACGGAGGACGAGCCGUGGCGAAGAAGAUGAGCAGUCGCGCUUAGCGCUUCCCAAAAACCUUAUUCGCCCUCUCCCGGUGCAGGAUCACAAGAGCGAGCGGUUCUGGAGACCUGCUCUUCUGUUCGCCGGUGCACGCCGGCGCUCGGGAUGGAGAAGACUACGGUGGCGGCGCAGCAAUGAGAGGAGGCAAAACUCUAACUCAGAUUAGAUCUUCUUAUGAAUUCCCAAACCUUGGGGACUCCACGUAUAGCGAUCUAUGGUUCACUUUUUCCA